rnacentral:rRNA from 1 species
CUUACGGCUGAACCAGCAACUUGGAGGAAUGUAUAGCUACGGCUAAUUGUGUAUAACUACACGAUAUCGACUCUGUCGAAUAAAAUUCUGGGUAAAUUAUGAUGAUGACAUUUUUUACCUAUGUGUCUUGACCAAAUUGUGUGCCAGCAGUCGCGGUAAUACAUAGAAGACUAGUGUUAUUCAUCUUUAAUAGGUUUAAAGGGUACCUAGACGGUAGAUCAAGCCCUAGACGGGACUAAUCUGCUAGAGUUACUUAUGAGGGGGCUUUAAAGUACUAAUGGUGUAGAGAUAAAAUUUUGUAAUACCAUUUUUCGUAAAGAAAAAUUAUGGCACUGGUAAAGGCGAAAGCAUCCCCCAAUGUGA